AGCGCUGCAGCUUCGGGGACAAAUAACGCCGUUGGGUUUGAUUUCCUGCACCCAGGUUUUUGGCUGCCCAUGGUGGUCGCGGGUGGCCCGGGCGCUCGGGCACGCCGUGGGACCCAGCGUGGCCAUGUAGAGCAGAUGGGGACGGGAUGAGCCCUGCGCUGCGCCUGCUGCUGUCCCUGGCCAGCUGCGCCCUGCUGCGGGGCACACCGCUGCCCCCCCGGGGGGUGCGGCUGUGGGCUCAGAACUUCCACGUGCAGCUGCGGUGGGAG
rnacentral:lncRNA from 1 species